UACGUAGGGGGCAAGCGUUAUCCGGAUUUACUGGGUGUAAAGGGAGCGUAGACGGCGAUGUAAGUCUGAAGUGAAAGCCCACGGCUCAACUGUGGGACUGCUUUGGAAACUAUGUAGCUAGAGUAUCGGAGGGGCAAGCGGAAUUCCUAGUGUAGCGGUGAAAUGCGUAGAUAUUAGGAGGAACACCGGAGGCGAAGGCGGCUUGCUGGACGAAGACUGACGUUGAGGCUCGAAGGCGUGGGGAGCAAACAGG
rnacentral:rRNA from 3 species